CAGUUGGUGCCGCGCUGUCAGUCCUCCUGGGCGCCUCGUGUCUCCCGGGCCAGCCAGUUUCAGUCUCCGGGCGAAGGGGCGCACAUGGAGGGCCCCAUGGGCAGAGGACCAAGACCUGAGAAACUGAAAACUGAGCAGAAGAGCUUAUUCCAGGUAUCUGAGAGGUGGCUCAGUGGGGCUGCCUACUAGUCCUGACAUCUCCCCUUCUUGCCUGCCACUAAUCUGAGACCCCUGCCGUCUAUCACUUUGUGGUGAGACCAGCCUAACCCAAUCAUCACAGUCAUCAAAGGACUUUGGAGGCCCUCAGGAAUGCUCGGGCAGUGAAAUCUAAACAUUUGGAGCUGGAGCAUCCUUGCGACUGGGAACUGAAGAAGGAGGGUGCUGCGCCAGCCUGACCUGACCCCAGCAUUGCAAACCCUGGAGCUUCCAGAGGGACUCUGGAGUCAGAGAAAACCCGGUGUAAAUCUCCCUUUUGUCAAUGUGAAAGUUGCUAAACAUC